rnacentral:rRNA from 1 species
GCAGGUGUUUAGUUCUGACGUUGCCGUGGAAAGUUUGGUGAACCUUAUCACUUAGAGGAAGGAGAAGUCGUAACAAGGUUUCCGUAGGUGAACCUGCGGAAGGAUCAU